rnacentral:rRNA from 1 species
CCUACGGGAGACAGCAGUAGGGAAUCUUCCACAAUGGGCGAAAGCCUGAUGGAGCAACGCCGCGUGGGUGAAGAAGGUCUUCGGAUCGUAAAACCCUGUUGUUAGAGAAGAAAGUGCGUGAGAGUAACUGUUCACGUUUCGACGGUAUCUAACCAGAAAGCCACGGCUAACUACGUGCCAGCAGCCGCGGUAAUACGUAGGUGGCAAGCGUUAUCCGGAUUUAUUGGGCGUAAAGGGAACGCAGGCGGUCUUUUAAGUCUGAUGUGAAAGCCUUCGGCUUAACCGGGGUAGUGCAUUGGAAACUGGGAGACUGGAGUGCAGAAGAGGAGAGUGGAACUACAUGGGUAGCGGUGAAAUGCGUAGAUAUAUGGAAGAACACCAGUGGCGAAAGCGGCUCUCUGGUCUGUAACUGACGCUGAGGUUCGAAAGCGUGGGUAGCAAACAGGAUUAGAUACCCCAGUAGUC